rnacentral:rRNA from 1 species
UACGAAGGGUGCAAGCGUUACUCGGAAUUACUGGGCGUAAAGGCGUGACGUAGGUGGUUCGUUAAGUCUGAUGUGAAAGCCCUGGGCUCAAACCUCGGGGAAUGGCAUUGGGAUACUUGGCGACCUAGAGUGCGGGUAGAGGGGUGUGGAAUUCCGUGGUGUAGCGGUGAAAUGCGCGAUAUCAGGAGGAACAGCCGGUGGCGAAGGCGGGUCUCUGGGCCGAUACUGACGCUGAGGAGCGAAAGCGUGGGGAGCGAACAGG